GAUGAAGAACGCAGCGAAAUGCGAUAAGUAGCGUGAAUUGCAGAAUUCAGUGAAUCAUCGAAUCUUUGAACGCACAUUGCGCCCUUUGGUAUUCCUUAGGGCAUGCCUGUUCGAGCGUCAUUUAAACCUUCAAGCUAAGCUUGGUGUUGGGUGACUGUCCGCUUCACGGCGGACUCGCCUCAAAAUUAUUGGCGGCCGGUACAUUGGCUUCGAGCGCAGCAGAAACGCGAACUCGGGCCCGUCGUAUUGGCUCCCAGAAGCUAUCUUCACAAUUUUGACCUCGGAUCAGGUAGGGAUACCCGCUGAACUUAAGCAUAUCAAUAAGCGGAGGA
rnacentral:misc_RNA from 1 species